CAUGCACUCGGGCGGGUCCCUCAGCCCAGAUUGUGAGAGGGCACAGGCCAGACCGAGGGACCCCACUGGUGCAUG
rfam:Myotis davidii contig5267, whole genome shotgun sequence.